GGGGAUGUAGCUCAGUGGUAGAGUAAUUGCCUACCAUACAUGAGGUCCUGGGUUCAACCCCCAGUAUUACAA
rnacentral:tRNA from 1 species